GUAGCUCAGUCGGGUAAGCGCCCGCUUCUCACGCUAGAGAUGCGGGUUCGAAUCCCGGCGCUGACA
rnacentral:tRNA from 1 species